GUGGGGAAUAUUGCACAAUGGGGGAAACCCUGAUGCAGCGACGCCGCGUGAGUGAAGAAGUAUUUCGGUACGUAAAGCUCUAUCAGCAAGGAAGAAAAUGACGGUACUUGACUAAGAAGCCCCGGCUAACUACGUGCCAGCAGCCGCGGUAAUACGUAGGGGGCAAGCGUUAUCCGGAUUUACUGGGUGUAAAGGGAGCGUAGACGGUAUGGUAAGUCAGAUGUGAAAGCCCGGGGCUCAACCCCGGGACUGCAUUUGAAACUAUCAGACUAUAGUGCAGGAGAGGUAAGUGGAAUUCCUAGUGUAGCGGUGAAAUGCGUAGAUAUUAGGAGGAACACCAGUGGCGAAGGCGGCUUACUGGACUGUAACUGACGUUGAGGCUCGAAAGCGUGGGGAGCAAACAGGAUUAGAAACCCCAGUAGUCC
rnacentral:rRNA from 1 species